UAGGGAAUCUUCGGCAAUGGACGGAAGUCUGACCGAGCAACGCCGCGUGAGUGAAGAAGGUUUUCGGAUCGUAAAGCUCUGUUGUAAGAGAAGAACGAGUGUGAGAGUGGAAAGUUCACACUGUGACGGUAUCUUACCAGAAAGGGACGGCUAACUACGUGCCAGCAGCCGCGGUAAUACGUAGGUCCCGAGCGUUGUCCGGAUUUAUUGGGCGUAAAGCGAGCGCAGGCGGUUAGAUAAGUCUGAAGUUAAAGGCUGUGGCUUAACCAUAGUACGCUUUGGAAACUGUUUAACUUGAGUGCAAGAGGGGAGAGUGGAAUUCCAUGUGUAGCGGUGAAAUGCGUAGAUAUAUGGAGGAACACCGGUGGCGAAAGCGGCUCUCUGGCUUGUAACUGACGCUGAGGCUCGAAAGCGUGGGGAGCAAACAGGAUUAGAUACCCUGGUAGUCCACGCCGUAAACGAUGAGUGCUAGGUGUUAGACCCUUUCCGGGGUUUAGUGNCGUAGCUAACGCAUUAANCACUCCGCCUGGGGAGUACGACCGCAAGGNUG
rnacentral:rRNA from 1 species